CAGAGGACAAAAUGAGGAUGAUAAACAAGAACCGCUGGGAGGACCAGACGCCUGCUCGCAGGAUGGAGGAGGAAGAUCAACCCACAAGCUGAGAGGUUGAGUAGACCGGAAUCUAAUCUACACUGUGCUGGGGGAGGAAAAAAGAGUUUUAUUGCAGUUUUAUCAGUAAAGAAUCACAUUAAAAUGCCUUCCUUUGGAAAUCCAAAUCUAAUAGAUACUUAAAAUCAUUUGUCAGGGAAAUAAAUAAAUAAAUAAUAAAAAAUUAAAAAAUCUAAAAUGGAGCACUUGAAGCCGUUUUGCCAGUUUGAUUUUUUUUUUAUGUAGGCUACUCGCAUGAUUCUUGCACUUUAAUAUCUUUAGUAAUAUCUUCAUUGCAUACUAAAUGUAUGCAAUGUAAUGUCCCAUCAGCUGUUUUUUUAACAAACUCUGGGUCACACUGACUGUUGCACAUACACAUUUUAAUGAGGGCAAUCAAAUAUUUUCGUGUUUUUAUAUUUCAAUGCAAUUUCAAAGUGACGACCCCGCUGACUACUACUGUAACACAUACAGAUCAUAGCACACAUACAAGAAAAUAACGAUAAUCCCUGCAUCCAUCCAUCCAUCCCUGCAUCCCUGCAUCCAUCCGCUAGCUGAAAAAGAAAAAUCAAAUGACAUCAAGAGGCACGAAGUGUGAACCAGCCUCCAACAGUAUUCUGAUAAGCGCCCCCUUGACCUUCCACCACCACUGUUAUGUCAGUGUCAGCUCAUAUCCCGUAAGCCCUCGCUUCCCGCCGCCCGUCUGUAAUCACCAGCUCCCACCAAUCGUUGGCCAUAAUGAGAUGUGGGAGCAAAGGAGGCCGAGAGACGUCCUUGGCGGUGCUCCUCCAGCUGCAGGUGUGUCAUCCCGGUUCAUUAUCCCACGGUCGAUUCUUUAUGGUCCUCAUCUGGGCGAGCGGCCAGAGAGUCGGCAAAUUAUGAGCUCCCUCCGUGUCACGCUGACACAUAACCAGGUGCUCUGAUCAUGUCUUUCCAUAUAAACAUGCAUGUGUGCCUCUGUCCCCGAUGGAGGUAUGGCUGUUAGAGCCUUGACAAAGGUGACACUUCUGCCCAAAUUCUGCCCUUCAGCGAGCUCCGCAAAUUGCCCUUCUAAGAAGGGCCUUCUUAUAGGAAAGCUUUGGAUUAAGAAAGGUUAAAUGCCCGAGGGCAGAAUUCACAGGCGACUGAGGUGAAAACGACUUGUGAAAAGUGCCGGUUGGCGACUGGAGAAACGUCACCAGCAAAAUGGACAUUAUUAUCAUUUUAUAUAUGAAUCAGAAUUACAGCAGCAUUUAAAGACACAUCACACACAACAUUGAUCAACCUCACCUCACGCCAUGCGCAUCAUAUUCUUUUAUAGGAAUACAUUUGAAAUGAUGAGGAAAUACAUCAGGCUCGCCUGACAUUUAAGAUCAGCUCCCCCCCCCCCCACCCUCUAUUGACACAACCAUUAAAACCCCAAGCAGCGCUGGCGUACAGUAAACUGGUUUCAUUUUUCACUCUCCUCACUGGGAGCCGAGCGGUCAUUUAUGGCGAGAUUAAGGAGCAUUUAAGACAGAAUGAAACCCCUUUGAGCCGCAGUAUCUUUAUCAUUAGAGCCACUCUGGCCCUGAGCUGACUUCAGCCUCUGUCACACCCAUCAUUCAUAUACUGUUAUUUCACUCUACACACACACACACACACACACACACACACACACACACACACCAAGCCCUCCAUAUGCACCCAGGCUGUUCAUCCUCGGUCAUCUAUUUUCCUCCCUCUCUCUCUCUCUCUCUGAUCUGAAUUUUGUUUCAGCUCCUCCAGCUCAGCUGCGAUAUCUUCUGUAGCCAAAGUUGCAUUUUCUGUGACGUCCCUCCCCAGCGUUUGUUCCGGCGCGAGUUCACGCACCGAUUAUUUAUUGUGUUUUCCACUGAUCCCUAAUAAGGGGGCUUUCAUAGCGCACAUCAAAAAGGCCAGCUGGCGGAGCUGCUGCAUCUGGGGUACGGCUCCUCAAGGCUGCUCUCCGACAGCACACAGAAGAUCAGCCUGUCCACCGGUGUUCAAUCUCACACCCCGCUGACGCACCUCACCAGCCCAAGCCCGAGCUCGUCUGAAGGCUCGUAACCCCCAGGAGAGUCUUUCUUCUGGAAAACCCAAUCGUUUUUCAAUCUUUUACAGAAGCGCAGUGUGAGGCGUGGGCUGCAGUAUCACAGAGGCAGUGCAGGAACGAGGUGUGAUCACAGCCCCGCGGGCUCUUUCUUUCCAGCCCUGCUCUGAGAGUUUGGUUUGGCCGCCGUUCUUCCAGCCCACUCAUCCCAACUCGCAGCAGCUAAGGGUUAGAGGCAAGUUUGAAAUCCAAAGAAUAAAGCGGCGUUGUUUGGCUUUUACCUCACACACUUCGCAUUGAACCACCGUCCCACCUGCACACACACACACACACACACACACACACUCACACACACACACAC